AUUGGUGUUCUGCAGGACUUCCAAGUUUUCAUUGCAAUUUUAAAUGCCUCUAUUGGCGCUUUAGCUGAAAUAGCAGAGAGACCAUUUGAUUAGUGCAGUGCAGCAAUUAUCCCAAUGCUUUCCUAUGGAAUCUUGAUGAUGUCAGCCAUGGAGGUAAGUGAAACUUUUAUUUAUUUUUUUCUCCCUACAAGAAGGGGCCAGGGAUCUAGACUGGGUACUGUAGCGUUAGGAAUACACAUUUGAAUGCUUAACGAUAUAGUGCUCUUUUAAUAUGGGGUGUGUCCCCUGUUUUCUCUAAUACCA